AUGUUGAUAAAAAACAGUAUCUACUCCCCUACCAAAAUGAAAAGGCAGAAUCAAAGCUCUGUGGUUGAAUUCAUCCUCUUGGGCUUUUCUAACUUUCCUGAGCUCCAAGUUUCUCCUGGGGGCAAUGGCUUAUGACAGAUUUGCUGCAAUCUGCCAUCCUCUGAGCUACCCAAUGCUUAUGAACAAAAGGGUUUUCAUGAAAUUACUAAUGUUCUCAUGGGUCUCAGGGGUCAUGGUGGCUACUGUGCAGACUACGUGGGUUUUUAGUUUUCCCUUUUGUGGCUGCAAUAAACUCAAUCAUCUCUUCUGUGAGACACCCCCAGUGCUGGAGCUUGCAUGUGCAGACACCUUUUUGUUUGAAAUCUAUGCAUUCACUGGCACCAUUUUGAUCGUCAUGGUUCCUUUCUUGUUGAUACUCUUGUCUUACAUUCGAAUCCUCUUUGCCAUCCUGAAGAUGCCAUCAACCACUGGGAGGCAAAAGGCCUUUUCCACCUGUGCCUCCCAUCUCACGUCUGUCACCCUCUUCUAUGGCACAGCCAGUAUGACUUACUUACAGCCCAAAUCUGGCUACUCCCCAGAAACCAAGAAACUGAUGUCAUUGGCUUACACAUUGCUUACACCUCUGCUGAAUCCACUGAUCUACACCUUGCGAAACAGUGAGAUGAAAAGAGCUUUGAUGAAAUUCUGGCGAAGAAGAGUAGAUUUGCACACAUUCUGACUGUGCUG